rnacentral:rRNA from 1 species
AGAGGGUGCAAACGUUGUUCGGAAUUACUGGGCGUAAAGCGCAUGUAGGCGGUUCGUAAAGUCAGAUGUGAAAGCCCUGGGCUUAACCCAGGAAGUGCAUUUGAAACUCACGAACUUGAGUCCCGGAGAGGAAGGCGGAAUUCUCGGUGUAGAGGUGAAAUUCGUAGAUAUCGAGAGGAACAUCGGUGGCGAAGGCGGCCUUCUGGACGGUGACUGACGCUGAGAUGCGAAAGCGUGGGGAGCAAACAGGAUUAGAUACCCUGGUAGUCCACGCCCUAAACGAUGUCUACUAGUUGUUGGGUCUUAAUUGACUUAGUAACGCAGCUAACGCGUGAAGUAGACCGCCUGGGGAGUACGGUCGCAAGAUUA